CUGCAACAUUUUGAGACAGGAUGUGUCUGAUUUUUGCACUGUUAUGUAAAUGAAACAAGACGAUCCUUGAAGUUUGUUUUAUGUGGGAGUUAAAGGACAUAUCCUGAUCAAAGAUAACUCCCAGAUUCUUUACGGUGGUGCCGGAGGCCAGGGCAAUGCCAUCUAGAGUAACUAUAUCAUAGACUCUUUCGGAGGGGUUCGGGGCCAAUUACAAUAACUUCAGUUUUGUCUGAGUUUAACAUCAGGAAAUUGCAGGUCAUCCUGGUUUUUAUGUCCUUAAUGCAUGCUUGAAGUUUAGUUAACUGGCUGGUUUCGUCUGGCUUGAUUGAUGUAUAUAACUGGGUGGUUAGGUCUCUAAAAAGGAGAGAG